GCCCACCACUCUAGGUGCUAGAGAAGCAAGUCAGGAGUCAGAAAUGGUGUGAACAAUACAUAUGAACACUUUGUGUAUUGGAGGCUGAUAUUCAUACGUGGGGGACAAAGAGAGAUUGGCUGAGGCAGUCUUAACUACAUGUCAGAAAUACAAAUGAAGAUGAACAGCCACCACUGGCAGCAGCACUGAUAAGCUCCUUCUGUUCUCAGUAGUAUCCAGAUCUGUUUUCUUCAUGCACAAAUCCCAGAAUUCCUCUUUUGGAGAAUCAAAGACUAUUUUAGUGGAUUGAGACCACAUGUGUCACUGAGAUGGACCCUUUCUAGGUCAAGGAACUGCCACCCUGGGGCAUAGUUUCAGUCACAAGGUAAAAGUGGACAAGUUUCAACUCUUUGGCAUGUACAGGGUGAGAAAGCAGGCAGGUU